GUUACUGUUCUUACGCUCCGGAAUUUAAAGCCGAGGUCCCUGGACUCAGCCACAGAGUCCAGGCAACUUCCCCUGAGGGACCGCACCCAGUUUCUCCUGCCGCAGUUUGGGUGCCAGGAGCGCAGGCUGAGGACCCGGCGGGCACGUGGGCUCGGCCGCAGCGCUGCGCCAGUUCAGCCCGCUUGGCAGCCCCCGGGCUCGCGCGGCCGCGGC
rnacentral:lncRNA from 1 species